CGGACGGGUGAGUAAUGUCUGGGAAACUGCCUGAUGAGGGGGAUAACUACUGAAACGGUAGCUAAUACCGCAUAACGUCGCAAGACCAAAGAGGGGGACCUUCGGGCCUCUUGCCAUCGGAUGUGCCCAGAUGGGAUUAGCUAGUAGGUGGGGUAACGGCUCACCUAGGCGACGAUCCCUAGCUGGUCUGAGAGGAUGACCAGCCACACUGGAACUGAGACACGGUCCAG
rnacentral:rRNA from 1 species